AAGCUGUUUGCUUGAGCAUUUAAGGAUAACAGAGACCUGUCACAGAGCUGCUACAAUGAUUUAUUAAAAGACAGAGGGAAAUGAGAGAAAAAGGUCCUUGCUCACUUCUCGCACCAGCUGCCUUUCUUUCUUUCUUACAUGUUUUCCUUUCUCUCUUUCUUUCUCUCUCUUUCUUUUUUCUCUCUUUCUUUCUUUCUCUCUCUUUUUCUCUUUCUUUUUUCUCUCUUUCACUCUUUCUUUCUUUCACUCUUCUUUUUUCUUUCUCUUUCUUUCUUUCUUUCUUUCUUUCUUUCUUUCUUUCCUUCUUUCCUUCUUUCCUUCUUUCCUUCUUUCCUUCUUUCCUUCUUUCCUUCUUUCCUUCUUUCCUUCUUUCUUUCUUUCUUUCUUUCUUUCCCUCCCUUCCUUCUUUAUACCUAAGGGAGAGGAGAAGACAGUCAUACUUUAAGCAAAUGCUUAAGGAGCUUUGGGCCUGUUUCUAACACCCACGCUUCCCACCCCAAUAAAGAUAGCUGGGUUUAUCGUUGGUGGGAGUUA
rnacentral:lncRNA from 1 species